rnacentral:rRNA from 1 species
UGCAGUCGAGCGCGUGUAGCAAUACACGAGCGGCGUACGGGUGAGUAACGGGUGGAUAACCUACCUCUAGGUGGGGGAUAACGGCUGGAAACGGCCGCUAAUACCGCAUACGGUUGCCGGUCUUCGGACUGGUAAAGAAAGGGGCUUCAAAGCCUCGCCAAGAGAUGGGUCCGCCUUCGAUUAGCUAGUUGGUAGGGUAACGGCCUACCAAGGCGAUGAUCGAUAGCCGAACUGAGAGGUUGAUCGGCCACACUGGAACUGAGACACGGUCCAGACACCUACGGGUGGCAGCAGUAGGGAGUAUUGCGCAAUGGGCGAAAGCCUGACGCAGCCACGCCGCGUGGAUGAUGAAGGCCUUCGGGUCGUAAAGUCCUUUUAUGAGGGAAGAACAGUCCGGUGAGGAAAUGCUCCGGAUUUGACGGUACCUCAGGAAUAAGCCACGGCUAACUCUGUGCCAGCAGCCGCGGUAAUACAGAGGUGGCUAGCGUUGUUCGGAAUUACUGGGCGUAAAGGGAGCGCAGGCGGCUAAACAAGUCUGGAGUGCAAGCCCGGGGCUCAACCCCGGAAUUGCUUUGGAUACUGUUUGGCUUGAGUACGUCAGAGGUGAGCGGAAUUCCAGGUGUAGCGGUGAAAUGCGUAGAUAUCUGGAGGAACAUCCGUGGCGAAAGCGGCUCACUGGGACGAAACUGACGCUGAGGCUCGAAAGCGUGGGGAGCGAACGGGAUUAGAUACCCCGGUAGUCCACGCUGUAAACGUUGUGCACUAGGUGUGAGGGGUGUCUACCCCCUUCGUGCCGUAGCUAACGCAUUAAGUGCACCGCCUGGGGAGUACGGUCGCAAGACUGAAACUCAAAGGAAUUGACGGGGGCCCGCACAAGCGGUGGAGCAUGUGGUUUAAUUCGAAGCAACGCGCAGAACCUUACCAACCCUUGACAUGGCAGUGACCGUUCCAGAAGAUGGUCCUUUCUCGCAAGAGACACUGCACACAGGUGCUGCAUGGCUGUCGUCAGCUCGUGUCGUG